rnacentral:sRNA from 1 species
GUUUGCACUCAUCGGGGAAGGGUGGGAACCUUCGACUAAGGUUCGAUUCGAGCGAAAGCGAGAGAACGUUGCCACAGGCAACGGCCCGAAGGGUGAGGAGCGAAGCGACGAAUAAUCCUUCCCCCACCACCA